UGGGGAAUUUUGGACAAUGGGCGAAAGCCUGAUCCAGCAAUGCCGCGUGUGUGAAGAAGGCCUUCGGGUUGUAAAGCACUUUUGUCCGGAAAGAAAUCCUUGGCUCUAAUACAGUCGGGGGAUGACGGUACCGGAAGAAUAAGCACCGGCUAACUACGUGCCAGCAGCCGCGGUAAUACGUAGGGUGCAAGCGUUAAUCGGAAUUACUGGGCGUAAAGCGUGCGCAGGCGGUUUGCUAAGACCGAUGUGAAAUCCCCGGGCUCAACCUGGGAACUGCAUUGGUGACUGGCAGGCUAGAGUAUGGCAGAGGGGGGUAGAAUUCCACGUGUAGCAGUGAAAUGCGUAGAGAUGUGGAGGAAUACCGAUGGCGAAGGCAGCCCCCUGGGCCAAUACUGACGCUCAUGCACGAAAGCGUGGGGAGCAAAACAGGAUUAGAUACCCGUGGUAGUCCACGCCCUAAACGAUGUCAACUAGUUGUUGGGGAUUCAUUUCCUUAGUAACGUAGCUAACGCGUGAAGUUGACCGCCUGGGGAGUACGGUCGCAAGAUUAAAACUCAAAUGAAUUGACGGGGUCAUAGCUG
rnacentral:rRNA from 1 species